UACGUAGGGCGCAAGCGUUGUCCGGAAUUAUUGGGCGUAAAGAGCUCGUAGGCGGUUUGUCGCGUCUGCUGUGAAAACCUCAGGCUCAACCUGGGGCUUGCAGUGGGUACGGGCAGACUAGAGUGCGGUAGGGGUGACUGGAAUUCCUGGUGUAGCGGUGGAAUGCGCAGAUAUCAGGAGGAACACCGAUGGCGAAGGCAGGUCACUGGGCCGCAACUGACGCUGAUGCACGAAAGCUAGGGGAGCAAACAGG
rnacentral:rRNA from 1 species